UUGAGAUUUCAUAACUUUUAAAAACAUGAGAAUGUCAAAGAAUACAGCAAAGAGCUGAUGUUUUUAUGAGUGAGUUCAUGUCUAAGUUUAAUUUAACACCGUAAAAAAUGUUUUCUUAUUCAACACUUUUACAAAACAUAAAAUGUGCUUCUCUUUACUUCCACUCGCGCUGCAGCUGCAAUGAAUGAGUAGCCAAGUGUAUCAAUAGACCAGCGUUUUGAUUAUUAUUAGCAGCUCAUGGUGUCUACUUUAAUAUCGAGGAGUAUUUCACUUUCUAUGGUUAUCGGAACAACAUAAAUGUGUGCCUGAAUGGAAGGUGGAAGAAUGUGUCCCCUCUUUCUGGUCUCACCGGAAGAAAGAAAGGAAGGAAAGAGCAGGGACCGUAAGAGGCAGACCCUCUGCUUUUCUCUCCCUCCCUCUACUGAGACUUUAAUGCCAUGUUAAAAACAACUCGGAACUCGGAACAGAAAUCUUGGAAUCCUGACUUCGUUGCAUUCAAGACAACUGGGACCUGAAAAAAAACAAGAUCCGACUGGGAAAAUCGUUUUGAAUGGUCAUCCAAUUCGGAAACUGGCACCUUUCUAGAGCUCCGGCUUUCUGACCUGAACGUCACUGAGUUCCCAGUUGUCUUAACAGCACCAUGACCAUCAGAAUGCAGCACUUCACUGAUGGAAAGUCAAGCGAAAUAUGUCCUAACUCUGUAGAUGCGGGGAGCACAUGGCUGGAACUACAUCCUUCAGAUGACAUCCAAACAAAAGCCUCCAGCCAAACCCAGAUGACGCUGGGCCAAUUGUGCGCCACCCUAUGGGACUCCC